rnacentral:lncRNA from 1 species
UUUUUUUUAUAUAGUAGGGAUAAUACCUAAUAUCUCUUUGAAAACUUCUAAAAUUUCUAAUUUAUUUUGUUUAAAUUUCAAAUAUACUCUUCGUAUAACUUUCCGUUAUUCAAAAAUACCCUUAUUGCUACUAUUCGUUAAAUUAUCUCAUAUUAAAUCCGGAUUAAAUUUCUACUUGAAUUAAAAAACAAAAUAUCUUUUUUAUUCUUAACUUAAGAGCAAGUAAGAAAAGCUGGUGAUGGUAUAAGGGUAUAUUUGAAAAAAACAAAAAAAAAACAAAAUACUUCUUUUGCUCCUAUACUAAGAGCAAAUUGUUACAAAAAGUAGGCGACAAUGAUAUAUUUGAAAGAGUAAAAUAGUAAUUUUACUGAGAUAACGGUUGUUACUAACAGUUCACCGACAAAAUUUAAUUUUAAGAGUAUAUUUGAAAUAAGGCCAAUUUGCAUAAAAAAUUCACUAAUUUUGGGCUUUUGCAAAAGUGGGCCACAUUUUUUGUUUUUACAGAUUCGGUCCGAUUUUUCUGCAAACUGACCAAAAUACCCUUUUAUUUUUUUCUCUUUCCUCUUUUUUUUCCCUUGUUCUUUUUUUCUUUCUCUUCCGAGAGAGCGGCGUAGGCGGAGGCGGAGGAGGAGGCGGAGACGGCUUGCUUCGAUUUUGUCCGGCGCAUUCUUA